CAGGUUUCUGAGCAAGAUGCUUGCAUGAAAGAUUCAAUCUAAGGCCAAUGCAAAAAUAUUGUGAAAGCAGCAGGAUCAGCUAGCCUUCCAGUUGGCUUCUUAAAUGCUGCAUUGAAAGGAUGAAACAGAACGGAUGUGAACAAGAGUUCCCUGAGAAAGGACAGCUCUUAGAGAGAUAGGAUAAUUACUGGACUCAAGAAGAUACCAAAUCAUGGUGUGCAUUUCUGCGUUGUGUUUGGAAGAGGAACUAGGAUUGUUAUGAAAAGGAAGGAUGUGUUCAACUUAGA
rnacentral:lncRNA from 10 species